UACAGAGAGUGCAAGCGUUAAUCGGAAUUACUGGGCGUAAAGCGCACGUAGGUGGAUAAUUAAGUCGGAUGUGAAAUCCCUGGGCUCAACCUAGGAACUGCACCCGAUACUGGUUGUCUAGAGUAUAGUAGAGGGAAGUGGAAUUUCUGGUGUAGCGGUGAAAUGCGUAGAUAUCAGAAAGAACACCAGUGGCGAAGGCGGCUUCCUGGACUAAUACUGACACUGAGGUGCGAAAGCGUGGGGAGCAAACAGG
rnacentral:rRNA from 1 species